rnacentral:rRNA from 1 species
GAUUAACGCUAGCGGCAGGCCUAAUACAUGCAAGUCGAACGGGAUUAGAUGUAGCAAUACAACUAUGAGAGUGGCGCACGGGUGCGUAACACGUAUGCAACCUACCUAUAACUGGGGGAUAGCCUCCCGAAAGGGAGAUUAACACCGCAUAACACUAUGAAGUGGCAUCACUUUAUAUUUAAAUCUACGGAGGUUAUAGAUGGGCAUGCGUCCGAUUAGCUAGUUGGUGAGGUAACGGCUCACCAAGGCUCCGAUCGGUAGGGGGUCUGAGAGGAUGAUCCCCCACACUGGUACUGAGACACGGACCAGACUCCUACGGGAGGCAG